CGCGUAGGCGGUUUGGUAAGUCGGAUGUGAAAGCCCCGGGCUUAACCUGGGAAUUGCAUUCGAUACUGUCAGGCUAGAGUCUGGGAGAGGGAUGCGGAAUUCCGGGUGUAGCGGUGAAAUGCGUAGAUAUCCGGAGGAACACCAGUGGCGAAGGCGGCAUCCUGGCCUAAGACUGACGCUGAGGUGCGAAAGCGUGGGGAGCAAACA
rnacentral:rRNA from 1 species